rnacentral:lncRNA from 1 species
CGCCGCUGCGGCCAGAUAAGGAGACUGGUAAACGUAGCCCGGUGGUACUCUGAAACGUGAAUACGAUCGUUGCAAUUAUCAUAGAACGCGAUUGCCAGCGAAUGAAAAGGGGAUGGAAAGUAACAAUAUUGGAAAAGGAAAGCGCAAAAGGAAGCGAAUCCUGUUUCGCAGAGACAGCCCUGAACUUUUUAACGGAUCGAUAACGGCUAGUGUCCAGUCUAGGAGGAAAAUCAAUAUGUCGUCCUGCGGCAUCGAACCGGUCCCGUUCCUCUGGUUUCUCCGAGUUCCGGCGAGCGGAUUACCGGGGCCAUCGCACCAUCGGGGAAACGCCAAACUGUCUUUCCUUUGUCGCGUUAUUCCCCUCCCCAAUCGGUUAAAUCACCCCGGAGCUUCUUACUUUUCCACAGUUAUAUUUACACACACUGACAAUGAACUUUUCUAAGUAUAUUCGCAACACCGUUUAACUUUUCUUUCAUGUCAGACUUAAUACAAA